UCAGUUCUUUUAAAGAAAAAGAAAAGAAAAAGAAAAAAAGACUCCACACACUUGAAAAAAGAGGCUGGGGUAUCGUAAUAGUCCAAAAAUGAAAGGUAAUUGAUCUCGUAGUGCACAACGGAAAAGUGCAGGUGAGAAAAAAAUAUAUUCAAAAUGGACUGGAGAGAAAACAUUUCAUUGACACGGCUCUCCCCUGUGCUCUGGACAGCUCUUCUCAGAAGUCUGAGUUGGGUGUGUCCACCAGGGAGGUCAGUUUCAGAGACGGUGACCUCAUUCUGACCACAUGGCCCAUUUGUUUCCACCGCCUCAAGCACCGCCCACUGACCAGAUCUAUCCGAAAUCGUGGAUGUCCACGGUGCUCUAAAUGACAUUUUGUGGAACCUUUCAAGAAAAACUGGUCUCUGGACUUUGAUGAAAGGCGGUGCGAGGACUCGGCCCUCCUACCUCGG